CCUACGGGAGGCAGCAGUGAGGAAUAUUGGUCAAUGGGCGCGAGCCUGAACCAGCCAAGUAGCGUGAAGGAUGACGGCCCGACGGGGUGUAAACUUCUUUUAUAAAGGAAUAAAGUGAGGCACGUGUGCCUUUUUGUAUGUACCUUAUGAAUAAGGAUCGGCUAACUCCGUGCCAGCAGCCGCGGUAAUACGGAGGAUCCGAGCGUUAGCCGGAUUUGUUGGGUUUAAAGGGAGGGUAGAUGGGAUGUUAAGUAAGUUGUGAAAGUUUGCGGCUCAACCGUAAAAUUGCAAUUGAUACUGGCAGUCUUGAUUAGAGUUGAGGUAGGCGGAAUUCGUGUUGUCGCCGU
rnacentral:rRNA from 1 species